rnacentral:rRNA from 1 species
GAUGAACGCUGGCGGCGUGCCUAAUACAUGCAAGUCGAGCGAACGGACGAGAAGCUUGCUUCUCUGAUGUUAGCGGCGGACGGGUGAGUAACACGUGGAUAACCUACCUAUAAGACUGGGAUAACUUCGGGAAACCGGAGCUAAUACCGGAUAAUAUUUUGAACCGCAUGGUUCAAAAGUGAAAGACGGUCUUGCUGUCACUUAUAGAUGGAUCCGCGCUGCGUUAGCUAGUUGGUAAGGUACCGGCUUACCAAGGCAACGAUGCAUAGCCGACCUGAGAGGGUGAUCGGCCACACUGGAACUGAGACACGGUCCAGACUCCUACGGGAGGCAGCAGUAGGGAAUCUUACGCAAAGGGCGAAAGCCUGACGGAGCAACGCCGCGUGAGUGAUGAAGGUCUUCGGAUCGUAAAACUCUGUUAUUAGGGAAGAACAUAUGUGUAAGUAACUGUGCACAUCUUGACGGUACCUAAUCAGAAAGCCACGGCUAACUACGUG